CCCCCCUUAGCUCAGCUGGUCAGAGCGCGCGGCUGUAGACCGUGAGGUCCUCGGCUCAAAUCCGAGAGGGGGGA
rnacentral:tRNA from 1 species